rnacentral:rRNA from 2 species
AACGUUGAUAGGCCGGGUGUGUAAGCGCAGCGAUGCGUUGAGCUAACCGGUACUAAUGAACCGUGAGGCUUAACCUUACAACGCCGAAG